rnacentral:rRNA from 1 species
AGGCAGCAGUAGGGAAUCUUCCACAAUGGACGAAAGUCUGAUGGAGCAACGCCGCGUGAGUGAAGAAGGUUUUCGGAUCGUAAAACUCUGUUGUAAGGGAAGAACACGUACGAGAGUAACUGCUCGUACCUUGACGGUACCUUAUUAGAAAGCCACGGCUUACUACGUGCCAGCAGCUGCGGUAAUACGGAGGGUGCAAGCGUUAUUCGGAAUCACUGGGCGUAAAGAGCGCGUAGGCGGUUUCUAAAGUCAGAUGUGAAAGCCCGGGGCUCAACCCCGGAAGUGCAUUUGAAACUUAGGGACUUGAGUAUGGGAGAGGGAAGUGGAAUUCCUGGUGUAGCGGUGAAAUGCGUAGAUAUCAGGAGGAACACCGGUGGCGAUGGCGACUUCCUGGACCAAUACUGACGCUGAGGCGCGAAGGCGUGGGGAGCAAACAGGAUUAGAUACCCUGGUAGUCCACGCAGUAAACGUUGAACACUAGGUGUAGCGGGUAUUGACCCCUGCUGUGCCGCAGCUAACGCAUUAAGUGUUCCGCCUGGGGAGUACGGCCGCAAGGCUAAAACUCAAAUGAAUUGACGG